rnacentral:tRNA from 1 species
GCACCGGUGGUCCAACGGCUAAGACUUCGGCCUUCCAAGCCGACUAUCCGGGUUCGAAUCCCGGCCGGUGCA